UGGGGAAUAUUGCACAAUGGGGGAAACCCUGAUGCAGCGACGCCGCGUGAGUGAAGAAGUAUUUCGGUACGUAAAGCUCUAUCAGCAGGGAAGAAAAUGACGGUACCUGACUAAGAAGCCCCGGCUAACUACGUGCCAGCAGCCGCGGUAAUACGUAGGGGGCAAGCGUUAUCCGGAUUUACUGGGUGUAAAGGGAGCGUAGACGGCAGCGCAAGUCUGGAGUGAAAUCCCAUGGCUUAACCAUGGAACUGCUUUGGAAACUGUGCAGCUGGAGUGCAGGAGAGGUAAGCGGAAUUCCUAGUG
rnacentral:rRNA from 1 species